rnacentral:lncRNA from 1 species
UGAUUCUCCUUCUCAGGGAUUGAGUUAAUUUUUCGAGGGUGGAAAAAAUAAUUUUGAAUAUGAGUUUGUGCACUUGAGUUCUCAAAAUACAAUUCAAGGACUUAAAGAUUGUAAAGAGGUAUAAUUAAAAUUUAUUAAUUGUACUAUGGAAAUGAAUUUUGUAUAUUUUUAUAUUAUAACUAUUUUUUUUGUUACAGGAAACCACUUUUGUUGUUUU